GUGCCAGCAGCCGCGGUAAUACAGAGGGCGCGAGCGUUGUCCGGAAUCACUGGGCGUAAAGGGCGCGUAGGUGGCCACCAUAAGGCCGCGGUGAAAGUUUGGGGCUCAACCCCAGAUCGGCCGCGGCGACUGUGGGGCUGGGGCACUGUAGAGGCAGAUGGAAUUCCGGGUGUAGCGGUGGAAUGCGUAGAGAUCCGGAAGAACACCAGUGGCGAAGGCGGUCUGCUGGGCAGUGGGAGCUUCGGCUCUCUUUAGCCGACACUGAGGCGCGACAGCGUGGGGAGCAAACAGGAUUAGAUACCCUGGUAGUCC
rnacentral:rRNA from 1 species